GGGUUGUGAGGUUAAGCGAAUAAGCGUACACGGUGGAUGCCUAGGCAAUCAGAGGCGAUGAAGGACGUGCUAAUCUGCGAAAAGCGUCGGUAAGGUGAUAUGAACCGUUAUACCCGACGAUAUCCGAAUGGGGAAACCCAGUAUCCAAUGGAUACUAUCAUUAACUGAAUCCAUAGGUUAAUGAGGCGAACCGGGAGAACUGAAACAUCUCAGUACCCCGAGGAAAAGAAAUCAACCGAGAUUCCCCUAGUAGCGGCGAGCGAACGGGGAGCAGCCCAGAGUCUUAAUCAAUAACAGUGUCAGGAGAACGGUCUGGAAAGUCCGGCAGUAAAGGGUGAUAGCCCCGUAUCUGAAGAUGCUGUUAUUGUGAACUCGACGAGUAGGGCGGGACACGUGUUAUCCUGUCUGAAUAUGGGGGGACCAUCCUCCAAGGCUAAAUACUCCUGAUUGACCGAUAGUGAACCAGUACCGUGAGGGAAAGGCGAAAAGAACCCCGGCGAGGGGAGUGAAAAAGAACCUGAAACCGUGUACGUACAAGCAGUAGGAGCCUCUUUAUGGGGUGACUGCGUACCUUUGUAUAAUGGGUCAGCGACUUAUAUUCUGUAGCAAGGUUAACCGUAUAGGGGAGCCGUAGGGAAACCGAGUCUUAACUGGGCGAAUGAGUUGCAGGGUAUAGACCCGAAACCCGGUGAUCUAUCCAUGGGCAGGUUGAAGGUUGGGUAACACUAACUGGAGGACCGAACCGACUAAUGUUGAAAAAUUAGCGGAUGACUUGUGGAUGGGGGUGAAAGGCCAAUCAAACCGGGAGAUAGCUGGUUCUCCCCGAAAGCUAUUUAGGUAGCGCCUCGUGAAUUCAUCUUCGGGGGUAGAGCACUGUUUCGACUAGGGGGUCAUCCCGACUUACCAACUCGAUGCAAACUGCGAAUACCGAAGAAUGUUAUCACGGGAGACACACGGCGGGUGCUAACGUCCGUCGUGAAGAGGGAAACAACCCAGACCGCCAGCUAAGGUCCCAAAGUCAUGGUUAAGUGGGAAACGAAGUGGGAAGGCUCAGACAGCCAGGAUGUUGGCUUAGAAGCAGCCAUCAUUUAAAGAAAGCGUAAUAGCUCACUGGUCGAGUCGGCCCGCGCGGAAGAUGUAACGGGGCUAAACCAUGCACCGAAGCUGCGGCAGCGACACAAAGUGUUGUUGGGUAGGGAGCGUUCUGUAAGCCUGCGAAGGUGUACUGUGAGGUAUGCUGGAGGUAUCAGAAGUGCGAAUGCUGACAUAAGUAACGAUAAUGCGGGUGAAAAACCCGCACGCCGGAAGACCAAGGGUUCCUGUCCAACGUUAAUCGGGGCAGGGUGAGUCGACCCCUAAGGCGAGGCUGAAAAGCGUAGUCGAUGGGAAACGGGUUAAUAUUCCCGUACUGGUGGUAACUGCGAUGGGGGAACGGAGAAGGCUAGGUUGUCCGGGCGACGGUCGUCCCGGUUCAAGCAGGUAGGCAGAGUGAUUAGGCAAAUCCGGUCACUUAAUGCUGAGAUGUGAUGACGAACCACUAAGGUGGUGAAGCAAUUGAUGCCCCGCUUCCAGGAAAAGCCUCUAAGCUUCAGGUUACCAACAAUCGUACCCCAAACCGACACAGGUGGUCAGGUAGAGAAUACUCAGGCGCUUGAGAGAACUCGGGUGAAGGAACUAGGCAAAAUGGUGCCGUAACUUCGGGAGAAGGCACGCUGGCGGUAGGUAAAGUCCCUUGCGGACGGCGCUGAAGCCAGUCGAAGAUACCAGCUGGCUGCAACUGUUUAUUAAAAACACAGCACUGUGCAAACACGAAAGUGGACGUAUACGGUGUGACGCCUGCCCGGUGCUGGAAGGUUAAUUGAUGGGGUUAGCGCAAGCGAAGCUCCUGAUCGAAGCCCCAGUAAACGGCGGCCGUAACUAUAACGGUCCUAAGGUAGCGAAAUUCCUUGUCGGGUAAGUUCCGACCUGCACGAAUGGCGUAAUGAUGGCCAGGCUGUCUCCACCCGAGACUCAGUGAAAUUGAACUCGCUGUGAAGAUGCAGUGUACCCGCGGCAAGACGGAAAGACCCCGUGAACCUUUACUAUAGCUUGACACUGAACAUUGAGCCUUGAUGUGUAGGAUAGGUGGGAGGCUUUGAAGUGUGGACGCCAGUCUGCAUGGAGCCAACCUUGAAAUACCACCCUUUAACGUUUGAUGUUCUAACCUAGGCCCAUAAACUGGGUCGGGGACCGUGUCUGGUGGGUAGUUUGACUGGGGCGGUCUCCUCCUAAAGAGUAACGGAGGAGCACGAAGGUUGGCUAAGCAUGGUCGGACAUCAUGCGGUUAGUGCAAAGGCAUAAGCCAGCUUGACUGCGAGAGUGACGGCUCGAGCAGGUACGAAAGUAGGUCUUAGUGAUCCGGUGGUUCUGAAUGGAAGGGCCAUCGCUCAACGGAUAAAAGGUACUCCGGGGAUAACAGGCUGAUACCGCCCAAGAGUUCAUAUCGACGGCGGUGUUUGGCACCUCGAUGUCGGCUCAUCACAUCCUGGGGCUGAAGUAGGUCCCAAGGGUAUGGCUGUUCGCCAUUUAAAGUGGUACGCGAGCUGGGUUUAGAACGUCGUGAGACAGUUCGGUCCCUAUCUGCCGUGGGCGUUGGAAGAUUGAGAGGGGUUGCUCCUAGUACGAGAGGACCGGAGUGAACGCACCACUGGUGUUCGGGUUGUCAUGCCAAUGGCAUUGCCCGGUAGCUAAGUGCGGAAGAGAUAACCGCUGAAAGCAUCUAAGCGGGAAACUUGCCUCGAGAUGAGUCUUCCCUGUCGCUUUAAGCGACCUAAAGGAACGUUUAAGACUAAGACGUUGAUAGGCUGGGUGUGUAAGCGUAGCGAUACGUUGAGCUAACCAGUACUAAUGAACCGUGAGGCUUAACCUGACAACACCGAAGGUGUUU
rnacentral:rRNA from 1 species